AAUCCAGAAAUAGACAAGAAAGAGGGUUGAAACCUUCAUGACAAUGCUAGAGAAUUAACAGUGAGAGAUGCAUUAAGCAACAACACAGUUUUGCCUUUUACAAGCUCCCUGAGGUUUUUAUUUCAGUCAGAGGACCAAGAUUUCAGUUCAAGUCACUGGAAGAAAAGAGCUGUCAUUUAUGCUCUCUACUUACAGGUAAAUUGUCUUGUGAUUAUUUCCACAGAACUCUGACUUGGAUAAGCUACCUAAGAUCGGAACCCUCUGAUAAUUUGUGCUGCUAUUUUAAGAUCCAGUUCCAUUCUACAACUGGCUGAAGCAUGAAGUCAACUAAAAUAAACUGAAUUGAGUGGAACUGAACUGAACUGAAGUGAAAUAAUGUGAUUUCCAGUAAACCUGACACCUUAAGGACAGAACAUGAGCCUUGCCCAUCUUCCUCCCAGAGGUCCCAGCACAAUCACCGACUCACACAAUACUCUCAGUGCAUGAGUGAUGAAUUUCACUAACAGCGACCCAUCUCUCUACAUAAUCCACUCCGGUUUCACCAGAGCUGAGAGUAUCAUGAAUUACAUCUAUAGAUAGCUGUAAGCUAAUGACCAAAGCACAUAACUGAAUUCAAACAUAUUCUUUAUUGCAGUCAGAUGUGAGAAAACAAAAUUUAGAAGACAAGCCAGAAAGGAAAUGAAGAACAUAAAGAGCCUGAAUUCUCAUCGUCAAUUUUUCCCUGACUGACUCCGUUUUCCUCUCUUCUUUCCAUUUACCUUUCUGUUCCCAUCCCCAUCAUUUUUGUAGUGUUUAUUGAGUGUCUGCUGCAUGCCAGUCAAUGUGCUGAGUACUUUUCAUGUGUUAUACCAUUUGAUCGUCACAGCAGCACACUAUUAUAAUUAUGAAUAUGAUUCCACAUACUAUAUCUAAAAUUUAACUUAAUUUUACAUAGGAGGAAGCUGAGACUUGCCCAAGACUACUCCAUUAGUAAGAUGUGAACCAAGUGAACCAUGUCUGACUCAAACCUAACCCCUGAUUCUCUGAAUCCAUAUCACCGUAGAACUCAACAGUGAAAUAUUGGGGUAGAGGUAAUGCUAUUAGUACACAAACUAUGCACAGAUUUACAAGCAACUAAACAGGAACUCAUGGCCAGGCACAAUGGUUCAUGCC
rnacentral:lncRNA from 1 species